UCAGAAAAGCGGGAGAGAUCCACCGACACUUACCGGAGUGGGAAGGUGAUGGAAGCGAAGGGGCACAAGAUGCUGGCUUGGAUGUUGCUGACCGCAUCGGGGGUUUACCUUCACAUCGUCCACAUUCAGGGUCUCCAGAUGGACUACCACUCAGAAAUGUCCUUAAUAUCCGCCUCCACUGACUAUCGAGUGAUAUCCGCUGCAAGCACCUGUGCCUGUCGUGUGCAGUGUCUUAAAGAAGUACAGUGCACUGCUGUUACGGUGAAGACGGAUUACAGCACAGGGAUGACCAACUGUUCAUUUACAAACAGACCUACUUGACCUCUGCUGACCUGUACUCAUCUGGAACCGCAAUCACAUGGAUUAAACCAGGAGUAUACCAACAAUUUACAACAACUACCCCGGCAACAACCACUUCGACAACAACCACCACUACCACCACCACUUCAACUACAACUUCUACUUCAACUACAACCACCACUCCAACUACAACUUCUACUUCAACUACAACUUCUACUUCAACUACAACUUCUACUUCAACUACAACCUCCACUCCAACUACAACGACGCCAGCAAUAACACAGUCGGACCUGGUGAUGAAGGCAUCGAAAAAGAUAGAUGAUGGUUCAGCAGGUAUAGAGUGCUGGAAGAAUGGCUUGAUGCUAUACACCGCGUACACAACGGAAGAGUUUCACCAAGUGAGAAAUGUACUCAUAGCCAAUGCGACCGCUUUCGACAAGGACCUCAUGGUGGAUUCAGGAACUCGAGAUGGACGGACUUCCUGGGUUUUAGCCGCGAUCCGGACGCCACCGAAUGGUUCAAGAAUGACGGCAAUCUUGCGCGAUGCUCAAGAA